ACACUGAUGGUGAAGUGGUUAUCAUGCUUGCCUUCCAUCUCUUGGUGUUUCAGCAAGCGGCAGGGGUUCGAUUCCCCUUCAGUGUA